rnacentral:lncRNA from 1 species
GAAUUGUCAUGAUAAAGCUAGGGAAAGGAAGAGUACCCUUAGCUGCAUCGAUUUGGAGCAUCCGUGAGUAGAUGACCUCGGAGAGGUGGAUAUGAUGCACCGACAUACACACCACUAGCUUGACCAUUUCGUCGGUCAGGAUGAUCUUGUUGCCCUUUGUCGGAUAGAUGUUCGAAUGAGCAACCAUGUGCAUGAGAAUGGCG